ensembl:lncRNA
GUGGGGUCAUCUGAUCUUGACUAUCCACUUUUCUUAAUUAUAAAACAGAGAUAAUAUUAAUAUUGCUUCGUAGAGUUGGCCUGAAGAUUAAAUGAGAUGAUUACAUAAAAUGUCUCCUACAGAGCCUGGUACAUCGAAAGAGCUUGGUAGCUGUUGGUGAUGGUUAGAAUAGACAGGAUGUCUGCAGUGGCUACUGCUAUGUUAAUGGAUUCUUCUGGAAAUGUCAAGAUUGAUUAUCCACCCAAGGUAUGGUCCAUAAAUCUGCUCACCACCCAUGCUUCCCCCAGAGAAGCCUAAGAAUAAAAGGAGCUUGAAGAAAGCAGCCCUUGACAGCCUCCAGGAAUGGCUACGCUUUUGUUCCCAGAUCACUUAAAUUUCUAUGGCCCACUUACUGAGUUUCCAACAUUUAUGGAGUCUUUAUCCCUCUGAAAUACUUGGAACGUAGCCAUCACCUUAUUUGCUCAAGAGGCUCAGGACCAAGAAGAAUAAGUCAAGGGGCCUGAAGUUAAAAGGAAGUUGGAACUUUUCUCUGACCUUUUGUGACCUUGAGAUCCACAAAGAAGUGAAACAUUCACUCUCCCAAAAGGAUUUGAACACACAAAGGUGGAGGGAGAUCUCGUCAAGAUGGCGGCGUAAGGAGACUCUGAACUCAUCUUCUCCCAUGAACACAACCACGUUACAACUAUUUUUGGAAAAAUUAUCCUGGAUAGAAAACUGAAAACUGGAUAAAAAGAACCCCCACAACAAGGGUCAGUUCUGACUAAGGCAGAAGGGGCAGAAAUUCCUGCUGGAGAGGAAAAAGCCACCUUUGGGAGCAGCGGAGCUUCUCAGCUGGCCAGGCGGGAGUCACCCUAAGGUACCCAGCCCUCCCUGGAGGAGUGAGGUCCGGAGCGGGGAUGAUACUGCUAUAAGCAUCCUUCAGACUCAACCCAACUGAGACGGGGGUCGUACUGUUGAAGAGUUCAAACAAAAAUCUCAUAAGGAUGCUCACAGAUACUGGGAGAAGACUGGAUCAACACAGUGAGCUCAUCAGCAAAGAACUG